rnacentral:rRNA from 1 species
GUGGAACAUGUGGUUUAAUGCGAUAAUCCACGCAAAAUCUUACCAACGUUUUAGGCUUUAAUAGUAAUAUAGUUAAUACUAUAAUUAAAAGAUAAAGUUCGGAAUUGCAUGGCUGUCGUCAGUUCGUGCUGUGAAGUUUAGGAUUAAGUUUUUCUUAACGAAUGUAACCCUAUAAAUAAGUUUUUAAUUUUGAAUAAAUAAAUUUCUAAAUUAUUCUUAUUUAAUCUAUAAUCAAUUUUAAGAAAAUCUUUUUUUUUAUAAUUGAUUAUAGGGGUUUUAGGCUGAAGUCAAGUCCCUAUGGUCUUUAUACGUUGGGCUACACACGUGUUACAAGGAUAAAAACAAAGAGACGCAAUAGAGUAAUCUGGAGCAAAUCUCUAAAAAUUAUCUUAGUUCAGAUUGUUUUAUGAAAUUCUAAAACAUGAAGAUGAAAUCGUUAGUAAUUGUAAAUUAUAAUGUUACAGUGAAAUAAUUGUCAAAUUUUGCACACACCGCCCAUCACGCUCGAAAAGUCGAUAUUAGCGGAAGAUUUAAAAAUUUCUACAUAAUACUUAAUUAUUUAUAAUUAUGUAAUAAAUAUUAUUUUUUAAUAGUGUAGUUAAUAAGUAGUAUCUAA